rnacentral:rRNA from 1 species
UAGGGAAUCUUCGGCAAUGGGGGGAACCCUGACCGAGCAACGCCGCGUGAGUGAAGAAGGUUUUCGGAUCGUAAAGCUCUGUUGUUAAGGAAGAACGAGUGUGAGAAUGGAAAGUUCAUACUGUGACGGUACUUAACCAGAAAGGGACGGCUAACUACGUGCCAGCAGCCGCGGUAAUACGUAGGUCCCGAGCGUUGUCCGGAUUUAUUGGGCGUAAAGCGAGCGCAGGCGGUUAGAUAAGUCUGAAGUUAAAGGCAGUGGCUCAACCAUUGUAGGCUUUGGAAACUGUUUAACUUGAGUGCGGAAGGGGAGAGUGGAAUUCCAUGUGUAGCGGUGAAAUGCGUAGAUAUAUGGAGGAACACCGGUGGCGAAAGCGGCUCUCUGGUCUGUAACUGACGCUGAGGCUCGAAAGCGUGGGGAGCGAACAGG